AACGAACGCUGGCGGCAUGCCUAACACAUGCGAGUCGAACGAGACCUUCGGGUCUAGUGGCGCACGGGUGCGUAACGCGUGGGAACCUGCCCUUAGGUUCGGAAUAACUCCCCGAAAGGGGUGCUAAUACCGGAUAAUGUCUUCGGACCAAAGAUUUAUCGCCUUUGGAUGGGCCCGCGUUGGAUUAGCUAGUUGGUAGGGUAAAAGCCUACCAAGGCGACGAUCCAUAGCUGGUCUGAGAGGAUGAUCAGCCACACUGGGACUGAGACACGGCCCAGACUCCUACGGGAGGCAGCAGUGGGGAAUAUUGGACAAUGGGCGAAAGCCUGAUCCAGCAAUGCCGCGUGAGUGAUGAAGGCCUUAGGGUGGUAAAGCUCUUUUACCCGGGAUGAUAAGGACAGUACCGGGAGAAUAAGCUCCGGCGAACUCCGG
rnacentral:rRNA from 1 species